rnacentral:rRNA from 1 species
CCUACGGGGGGCAGCAGUGAGGAAUAUUGGUCAAUGGUCGGGAGACUGAACCAGCCAAGCCGCGUGAGGGAGGAAGGUACAGAGUAUCGUAAACCUCUUUUGUCAGGGAACAAAGACUGGGACGCGUCCCCGGAUGAGUGUACCUGAUGAAAAAGCAUCGGCUAACUCCGUGCCAGCAGCCGCGGUAAUACGGAGGAUGCGAGCGUUAACCGGAUUUAUUGGGUUUAAGGGGUGCGCAGGCGGUCUGUUAAGUCAGCGGUAAAAGCCCGGGGCUCAACCCCGGCCCGCCGUUGAAACUGGCAGUCUCGAGUUGGAGAGAGGUAUGCGGAAUGCGCGGUGUAGCGGUGAAAUGCAUAGAUAGCGCGCAGAACUCCGAUUGCGAAGGCAGCAUGCCGGCUCCACACUGACGCUGAGGCACGAAAGCGUGGGUAUCGAACAGGAUUAGAUACCCUUGUAGUC